rnacentral:rRNA from 1 species
AUUGAACGCUGGCGGCAUGCCUUACACAUGCAAGUCGAACGGCAGCACGGGUGCUUGCACCUGGUGGCGAGUGGCGAACGGGUGAGUAAUACAUCGGAACAUGUCCUGUAGUGGGGGUUAGCCCGGCGAAAGCCGGAUUAAUACCGCAUACGAUCUACGGAUGAAAGCGGGGGACCUUCGGGCCUCGCGCUAUGGGGUUGGCCGAUGGCUGAUUAGCUAGUUGGUGGGGUAAAGGCCUACCAAGGCGACGAGCAGUAGCUGGUCUGAGAGGAGGAGCAGCCACGAUAGGACGGAGACACAGCCCAGACUCCUAAGGCAGGCAGCAGUGGGGAAUUUUGGAGAAGGGGCGAAAGCCUGAUCCAGCAAUGCCGCGUGUGUGAAGAAGGCCUUCGGGUUGUAGAGCACUUUUGUCCGGAAAGAAAUCCUUGGCACUAAUACGGUCGGGGGAUGACGGUACCGGAAGAAUAAGCACCGGCUAACUACGUG